CGCGUAUCCAACCUGCCCACCACUUGGGGAUAACCUUGCGAAAGUAAGACUAAUACCCAAUGAUAUCUCUAGAAGACAUCUGAAAGAGAUUAAAGAUUUAUCGGUGAUGGAUGGGGAUGCGUCUGAUUAGCUUGUUGGCGGGGUAACGGCCCACCAAGGCGACGAUCAGUAGGGGUUCUGAGAGGAAGGUCCCCCACAUUGGAACUGAGACACGGUCCAA
rnacentral:rRNA from 1 species